rnacentral:rRNA from 1 species
AGCGAAUGGAUUAAGAAGCUUGCUCUUAUGAAGUUAGCGGCGGACGGGUGAGUAACACGUGGGUAACCUGCCCAUAAGACUGGGAUAACUCCGGGAAACCGGGGCUAAUACCGGAUAACAUUUUGAACCGCAUGGUUCGAAAUUGAAAGGCGGCUUCGGCUGUCACUUAUGGAUGGACCCGCGUCGCAUUAGCUAGUUGGUGAGGUAACGGCUCACCAAGGCAACGAUGCGUAGCCGACCUGAGAGGGUGAUCGGCCACACUGGGACUGAGACACGGCCCAGACUCCUACGGGAGGCAGCAGUAGGGAAUCUUCCGCAAUGGACGAAAGUCUGACGGAGCAACGCCGCGUGAGUGAUGAAGGCUUUCGGGUCGUAAAACUCUGUUGUUAGGGAAGAACAAGUGCUAGUUGAAUAAGCUGGCACCUUGACGGUACCUAACCAGAAAGCCACGGCUAACUACGUGCCAGCAGCCGCGGUAAUACGUAGGUGGCAAGCGUUAUCCGGAAUUAUUGGGCGUAAAGCGCGCGCAGGUGGUUUCUUAAGUCUGAUGUGAAAGCCCACGGCUCAACCGUGGAGGGUCAUUGGAAACUGUGAGACUUGAGUGCAGAAGAAGAAAAGUGGAAUUCUAUGUGUAGCGGUGAAAUGCGUAGAGAUAUGGAGGAACACCAGUGGCGAAGGCGACUUUCUGGUCUGUAACUGACACUGAGGCGC